rnacentral:rRNA from 1 species
UACGUAGGGUGCGAGCGUUGUCCGGAAUUACUGGGCGUAAGGAGCUCGUAGGUGGUUUGUCGCGUUGUUCGUGAAAACCGGGGGCUUAACCCCUCGGCGUGCGGGCGAUACGGGCAGACUUGAGUACUGCAGGGGAGACUGGAAUUCCUGGUGUAGCGGUGGAAUGCGCAGAUAUCAGGAGGAACACCGGUGGCGAAGGCGGGUCUCUGGGCCGUAACUGACACUCAGGGACGAAAGCUAGGGAGCGAAUGGG